rnacentral:tRNA from 1 species
UGCCCGGUCGUCCAAUGGCCAGGAUUCCUGACUUUGAUUCAGGGGGUGGAGGUUCGAAUCCUUCCCGGGCAU